GUGAACGCUGGCGGUAGGCCUAACACAUGCAAGUCGAACGGCAGCACCGUAAGAGCUUGCUCUUACGGGUGGCGAGUGGCGGACGGGUGAGGAAUACAUCGGAAUCUACUUUUUCGUGGGGGAUAACGUAGGGAAACUUACGCUAAUACCGCAUACGACCUACGGGUGAAAGCAGGGGAUCUUCGGACCUUGCGCGAUUGAAUGAGCCGAUGUCGGAUUAGCUAGUUGGCGGGGUAAAGGCCCACCAAGGCGACGAUCCGUAGCUGGUCUGAGAGGAUGAUCAGCCACACUGGAACUGAGACACGGUCCAGACUCCUACGGGAGGCAGCAGUGGGGAAUAUUGGACAAUGGGCGCAAGCCUGAUCCAGCCAUACCGCGUGGGUGAAGAAGGCCUUCGGGUUGUAAAGCCCUUUUGUUGGGAAAGAAAAGCAGCAGGUUAAGACCCCGCUGUUCUGACGGUACCCAAAGAAUAAGCACCGGCUAACUUCGUG
rnacentral:rRNA from 1 species